rnacentral:rRNA from 1 species
UAUGGGUCGCAGAGACGUGGCCCUUCAGUUCGGCUGGCUCCCACACAGGUGCUGCAUGGCUGUCGUCAGCUCGUGUCGUGAGAUGUUGGGUUAAGUCCCGCAACGAGCGCAACCCUCAUCUUCAGUUGCCAUCGGUACGGCCGGGCACUCUGAAGAAACUGCCGGUGACAAGCCGGAGGAAGGCGGGGAUGACGUCAAGUCCUCAUGGCCCUUACGGGCUGGGCUACACACGUGCUACAAUGGCGGUGACAAUGGGAUGCAAUGGGGCGACCCCGAGCGAAUCCCAAAAAGACCGUCUCAGUUCGGAUUGCACUCUGCAACUCGAGUGCAUGAAGCUGGAAUCGCUAGUAAUCGUGGAUCAGCACGCCACGGUGAAUACGUUCCCGGGCCUUGUACACACCGCCCGUCACACCAUGGGAGUUGGUUUUACCCGAAGCCGGUGCGCUAACCGCAAGGAGGCAGCCGACCACGGUAGGGUCAGCGACUGGGGUGAAGUCGUAACAAGGUAAGCGUAGAUGA